GACGAACGCUGGCGGCGUGCUUAACACAUGCAAGUCGAACGGAAAGGCCCUGCUUUUGUGGGGUGCUCGAGUGGCGAACGGGUGAGUAACACGUGAGUAACCUGCCCUUGACUUUGGGAUAACUUCAGGAAACUGGGGCUAAUACCGGAUAGGAGCUCCUGCUGCAUGGUGGGGGUUGGAAAGUUUCGGCGGUUGGGGAUGGACUCGCGGCUUAUCAGCUUGUUGGUGGGGUAGUGGCUUACCAAGGCUUUGACGGGUAGCCGGCCUGAGAGGGUGACCGGCAACAGUGGGACAGUGAGGCGGCCCAGACGCCAGCGGGAGGCAGAAGUGGGGAAGAUGGGACAAGGGGCGGAGGCAUGAUGCCGCAUCGCGGCGUGGGGGAUGACGGCGUUCGGGUUGUAAACCGCGUUCGCCUGGGACGAAGCGUGAGUGAGGGUAAUGGGUAAAGAGGCACCGGCGAACUACGU
rnacentral:rRNA from 1 species